rfam:Camponotus floridanus CamFlo_1.0_3.contig3994, whole genome shotgun sequence.
GGCUGAAUAGCUCAGUGGUAAGAGCAGUCGCCCGGAAAACGAAAGACUCGGGUUCGAAUCCCGAUUUAGCGA